rnacentral:rRNA from 1 species
AACGAACGCUGGCGGCAGGCUUAACACAUGCAAGUCGAGCGCCCCGCAAGGGGAGCGGCAGACGGGUGAGUAACGCGUGGGAAUCUACCCAUCUCUACGGAAUAACGCGUGGAAACGUGUGCUAAUACCGUAUACGUCCUUCGGGAGAAAGAUUUAUCGGAGAUGGAUGAGCCCGCGUUGGAUUAGGUAGUUGGUGGGGUAAAGGCCUACCAAGGCGACGAUCCAUAGCUGGUCUGAGAGGAUGAUCAGCCACACUGGGACUGAGACACGGCCCAGACUCCUACGGGAGGCAGCAGUGGGGAAUAUUGGACAAUGGGCGCAAGCCUGAUCCAGCCAUGCCGCGUGAGUGAUGAAGGCCCUAGGGUUGUAAAGCUCUUUCACCGGUGAAGAUAAUGACGGUAACCGGAGAAGAAGCCCCGGCUAACUUCGUGCCAGCCGCCGCGGUAAAAC